rnacentral:rRNA from 1 species
AUUGAACGCUGGCGGCAGGCCUAACACAUGCAAGUCGAACGAGUGGCGGACGGGUGAGUAAUGUCUGGGAAACUGCCUGAUGGAGGGGGAUAACUACUGGAAACGGUAGCUAAUACCGCAUACCAUCGGAUGUGCCCAGAUGGGAUUAGGUAGUUGGUGGGGUAAAGGCUCACCUAGGCGACGAUCCCUAGCUGGUCUGAGAGGAUGACCAGCCACACUGUGACUGAGACACGGGCCAGACUCCUACGGGAGGCAGCAGUGGGGAAUAUUGCGCAAUGGGGGCAAGCCUGAUGCAGCCAUGCCGCGUGUAUGAAGAAGGCCUUCGGGUUGUAAAGUUCUUUCAGUGGGGAGGCGUUACCUGCAGAAGAAGCACCGGCUAACUCCGUGCCAGCCGCCGCGGUAAUAC